CAAUUGAAACUACAAUGUGGUUUUCCUCAUCCUUCCCACAACCUUCCCCUUUGUCUCUCUGCAAACACUCCUCUCAAUCACUAACAAAAAUCCCAGCUGCUGGUGGUGCCGCCGGUUGCUCGGCGGCGACACCUUCCAUACUUCCCUUCCAUGUGAAAUCGAUUACAAGCACAUCGAACCCAUUUGUGAAACACUGCGUCAAGCUUCGUAACAGCACCUCUUAUCGCCAUUCUCAUGGCUCUGUUCUUCUUGUCGGCACUACUCCAAUCAGGGAAAUGUUCAACUUUCAAGAGUCUAAGGACGAGAAGGCGAGUAGAAUAGAUUGUUUACUUUUACAUGAGAACGCCGAGGUUCCAGAAGAUUUGGUAGAAAGUGGUAUUCGUAUAGUCCGUGUUAGUUCAGUUGUGAUGAAGAAACUUUGUGGAGUGCAAUCAACCGAAUCCAUUGAUGCAGUUUCUCUAGUGAAGAUUCCUUCAACUUUUCACAAUCUAGAUGAUGACCACCAUCAAGGUUUUUCAAAAUGGUUCCCGUCUGUUUUUCGAAUUCUGGUUCUUGAUGGAAUUCAGGACCCUGGUAAUCUUGGCACCUUAUUACGAUCAGCCGUUGCGUUUGGAUGGGAUGGUGCUUUUCUACUCCCGGGAUGUUGUGAUCCUUUCAACGAGAAAGCGCUUAGAGCGAGUCGUGGUGCAUCAUUCCAGCUUCCAAUGGUUUCGGGCCAAUGGUCUGAUUUACAAUCUCUUGUCGACGGGUCUAAAAUGAAAAUCCUUGCGGGGGAUCCAGGGAGCAAGGAUGGGCCAGUUUCUUGUCUCACAAACGAACUUGCGUAUUCUUUGAUAGAUACGAAAUUGUGUCUUGUUUUGGGUAGUGAAGGGAGCGGGAUUUCUGAAAAAGCUCGGGAGGCGUCUGAGCUAGUAAGCAUUAGAAUGGGUGGGGAAUUUGAGUCGCUAAAUGUCUCUGUUGCUGGGGGCAUUUUUUUGUUCAUGUUACAACCUCAAAAGAAAGAACUUGUUAAAUAGUAUGGUUGUUAACAUUUGCUUCAUAUGUGUUACCGACCUAGACCAACAAACAAAUCAUUUUUCUCUAAGUGAUUAGACAACCAUCUAAGCA